rnacentral:rRNA from 1 species
UACGUAGGGUGCGAGCGUUGUCCGGAAUUAUUGGGCGUAAAGAGCUCGUAGGCGGUUUGUCGCGUCGGCCGUGAAAACUUGGGGCUUAACCCCAAGCUUGCGGUCGAUACGGGCAGACUUGAGUUCGGCAGGGGAGACUGGAGUUCCUGGUGUAGCGGUGAAAUGCGCAGAUAUCAGGAGGAACACCGGUGGCGAAGGCGGGUCUCUGGGCCGAUACUGACGCUGAGGAGCGAAAGCGUGGGGAGCGAACAGG